rnacentral:rRNA from 1 species
AGAGUUUGAUCCUGGCUCAGAACGAACGCUGGCGGCAGGCCUCAAACAUGCAAGUCUAGGGGGUGCAGCAAUGCAUCACCGGCGGACGGGUGCGUAACACGUGGGAAUAUACCUUUUGGUUCGGAACAACUGAGGGAAACUUCAGCUAAUACCGAAUGUGCCCUAACGGGGAAAGAUUUAUCGCCAAAGGAUUAGCCCGCGUUCGAUUAGCUAGUUGGUAGGGUAACGGCCUACCAAGGCGACGAUCGAUAGCUGUUCUGAGAGGAAGAUCAGCCACACUGGGACUGAGACACGACCCAGACUCCUACGGGAGGCAGCAGUUGGGAAUCUUGGACAAUGGGGGAAACCCUGAUCCAGCCAUGCCGCGUGAGUGAUGAAGGCCUUCGGGUUGUAAAACUCUUUCGACGGGGACGAUAAUGACGGUACCCGUAGAAGAAGCUCCGGCUAACUUCGUGCCAGCAGCCGCGGUAAUACGAAGGGGGCUAGCGUUGUUCGGAAUUACUGGGCGUAAAGCGCGCGCAGGCGGUUUUCCAAGCCAGUGGUGAAAGCCCGGAGCUCAACUCCGGAACUGCCAUUGAAACUGUUAAACUUGAGGACGAGAGAGGUGAGUGGAAUUCCCAGUGUAGAGGUGAAAUUCGUAGAUAUUGGGAAGAACACCGGUGGCGAAGGCGGCUCACUGGCUCGUUUCUGACGCUCAGGCGCGACAGCGUGGGGAUCAAACAGGAUUAGAUACCCUGGUAGUCCACGCCGUAAACGAUGAUUGCUAGCCGUUGGGCAGCUUGCUGUUCAGUGGCGCAGCUAACGCAUUAAGCA